rfam:Cavia porcellus supercont2_0 genomic scaffold, whole genome shotgun sequence.
GGGGAUUUAGCUCAGUGGCAUAAGCGCCUGCCUUGCAAGCAUGUGGUCAUGAGUUCAAUCCCUG